AUUGAACGCUGGCGGCAGGCCUAACACAUGCAAGUCGAGCGGAUGAGUGGAGCUUGCUCCAUGAUUCAGCGGCGGACGGGUGAGUAAUGCCUAGGAAUCUGCCUGGUAGUGGGGGACAACGUUUCGAAAGGAACGCUAAUACCGCAUACGUCCUACGGGAGAAAGUGGGGGAUCUUCGGACCUCACGCUAUCAGAUGAGCCUAGGUCGGAUUAGCUAGUUGGUGAGGUAAAGGCUCACUAAGGCGACGAUCCGUAACUGGUCUGAGAGGAUGAUCAGUCACACUGGAACUGAGACACGGUCCAGACUCCUACGGGAGGCAGCAGUGGGGAAUAUUGGACAAUGGGCGAAAGCCUGAUCCAGCCAUGCCGCGUGUGUGAAGAAGGUCUUCGGAUUGUAAAGCACUUUAAGUUGGGAGGAAGGGCAGUAAGUUAAUACCUUGCUGUUUUGACGUUACCAACAGAAUAAGCACCGGCUAACUUCGUGCCAGCAGCCGCCGUAA
rnacentral:rRNA from 1 species